UGGAGAGUUUGAUCCUGGCUCAGGACGAACGCUGGCGGCGUGCUUAACACAUGCAAGUCGAACGGAAAGGCCCUUCGGGGUACUCGAGUGGCGAACGGGUGAGUAACACGUGGGUGAUCUGCCCUGCACUUUGGGAUAAGCCUGGGAAACUGGGUCUAAUACCGAAUAGGACCACGCGCUUCAUGGUGUGUGGUGGAAAGCUUUUGCGGUGUGGGAUGGGCCCGCGGCCUAUCAGCUUGUUGGUGGGGUAAUGGCCUACCAAGGCGACGACGGGUAGCCGGCCUGAGAGGGUGACCGGCCACACUGGGACUGAGAUACGGCCCAGACUCCUACGGGAGGCAGCAGUGGGGAAUAUUGCACAAUGGGCGCAAGCCUGAUGCAGCGACGCCGCGUGAGGGAUGACGGCCUUCGGGUUGUAAACCUCUUUCANNAGGGACGAAGCGNAAGUGACGGUACCUAUAGAAGAAGCACCGGCCAACUACGUGCCAGCAGCCGCGGUA
rnacentral:rRNA from 1 species